rnacentral:antisense_RNA from 1 species
CAGGUGAGCAACGGCGGCGGCAACCUGGCGGCCACGGGUCG